GGGGGAAUAUUGGGCAAUGGGCGCAAGCCUGAUCCAGCAAUGCCGCGUGAGUGAUGAAGGCCUUAGGGUUGUAAAGCUCUUUUACCCGGGAUGAUAAUGACAGUACCGGGAGAAUAAGCUCCGGCUAACUCCGUGCCAGCAGCCGCGGUAAUACGGAGGGAGCUAGCGUUGUUCGGAAUUACUGGGCGUAAAGCGCACGUAGGCGGCUAUUCAAGUCAGAGGUGAAAGCCCAGGGCUCAACCUUGGAACUGCCUUUGAAACUAGAUAGCUAGAAUCCUGGAGAGGCGAGUGGAAUUCCGAGUGUAGAGGUGAAAUUCGUAGAUAUUCGGAAGAACACCAGUGGCGAAAGCGACUCGCUGGACAGGUAUUGACGCUGAGGUGCGAAAGCGUGGGGAGCGAA
rnacentral:rRNA from 1 species